rnacentral:tRNA from 1 species
CACAGCCGCGUGGUGUAGAAACACACUGGAUUGCAAAUCCGGAGACGCAGAAUAAUACCCUGCCGGGGCUUU